UACGGGGGGAGCAAGCGUUGUUCGGAUUUAUUGGGCGUAAAGAGCUCGUAGGCGGUUUGUCGCGUCUGCUGUGAAAACCUAAGGCUCAACCUUGGGCUUGCAGUGGGUACGGGCAGACUAGAGUGCGGUAGGGGUGACUGGAAUUCCUGGUGUAGCGGUGGAAUGCGCAGAUAUCAGGAGGAACACCGAUGGCGAAGGCAGGUCACUGGGCCGCAACUGACGCUGAGGAGCGAAAGCAUGGGGAGCGAACAGG
rnacentral:rRNA from 1 species